CCCUGUGUAGCUCAGUUGGUAGAGCAUGGUGCUUGCAACGCCGGGGUUGCGGGUUCAAUUCCCACCGGGGA